rnacentral:misc_RNA from 1 species
GAUGAAGAACGUAGUGAAAUGCGAUAAGUAAUGUGAAUUGCAGAAUUCAGUGAAUCAUCGAAUCUUUGAACGCACAUUGCGCCCGCUAGUAUUCUGGCGGGCACGCCUGUCCGAGCGUCAUUUCAACCCUCAAGCCCCCGGGCUUGGUGUUGGGGAUCGGCGAGCCUCCGCGCCCGCCGUCCCCUAAAUCUAGUGGCGGUCUCGCUGUAGCUUCCUCUGCGUAGUAGCACACCUCGCACUGGGAAACAGCGCGGCCACGCCGUUAAACCCCCAACUUCUGAACGUUUGACCUCGGAUCAGGUAGGAAUACCCGCUGAACUUAAGCAUAUCAAUAAGCGGAGGA